UGGGGAAUCUUGCACAAUGGGGGCAACCCUGAUGCAGCGACGCCGCGUGAGCGAUGAAGCCCUUCGGGGCGUAAAGCUCUUUCGACCGGAACGAUAAUGACGGUACCGGGAGAAGAAGCUGCGGCUAACUACGUGCCAGCAGCCGCGGUAAUACGUAGGCAGCAAGCGUUGUUCGGAGUUCCUGGGCGUAAAGAGUGCGUAGGCGGUUUUCUAAGUUCGGUGUGAAAUCUCCCGGCUUAACUGGGAGGGUGCGCCGAAGACUGGGAAGCUGGAGUGUGGGAGAGGCAGGCGGAAUUCCUGGCGUAGCGGUGAAAUGCGUAGAUAUCAGGAGGAACACCGGCGGUGUAGACGGCUUGCUAGACCAUAACUGACGCUGGGGCACGAAAGCGUGGGUAGCAAACA
rnacentral:rRNA from 1 species